AUUGGACGCUGGCGGCAUGCUUUACACAUGCAAGUCGAACGGCAGCACGGGGGCAACCCUGGUGGCGAGUGGCGAACGGGUGAGUAACACAUCGGAACGUGUCCUAUGGUGGGGGAUAACCUGGCGAAAGCCAGGCUAAUACCGCAUAAGCUCGGAAGAGGAAAGCAGGGGAUCGCAAGACCUUGCGCCGAAGGAGCGGCCGAUGUCCGAUUAGCUAGUUGGUGGGGUAAAAGCUCACCAAGGCGACGAUCUGUAGCGGGUCUGAGAGGAUGAUCCGCCACACUGGAACUGAGACACGGUCCAGACUCCUACGGGAGGCAGCAGUGGGGAAUUUUGGACAAUGGGGGCAACCCUGAUCCAGCCAUGCCGCGUGAGUGAAGAAGGCCUUCGGGUUGUAAAGCUCUUUCGGCCGGGAAAAAAUCGCAUGGAUUAAUACUCUGUGUGGAUGAUGGUACCGGAAUAAGAAGCACCGGCUAACUACGUGCCAGCAGCCGCCGUAAAAC
rnacentral:rRNA from 1 species